UACAGAGGUGGCAAGCGUUGUUCGGAAUUACUGGGCGUAAAGGGCGCGUAGGCGGCCUUCUAAGUCAGACGUGAAAUCCCCCGGCUUAACCUGGGAACUGCGUCUGAUACUGGGAGGCUAGAGUGCGGGAGAGGGAUGCGGAAUUCCAGGUGUAGCGGUGGAAUGCGUAGAGAUCCGGAAGAACACCGGAGGCGAAGGCGGCUUGCUGGGCUUGGUCUGACGCUGAGGCGCGAAAGCGUGGGGAGCGAACAGG
rnacentral:rRNA from 1 species